rnacentral:lncRNA from 1 species
UACAUGAUAGAGAUUCAAACCGUCUACAUAUAUAAUUAACGUGGAAGAUGAGUUACCUCAACAAAGAGCCUGGGAAGAUUGGGAGAAAGAAAACGCUUCUUCAAUCUAAAUUCACUAACUACAUAUAUAAUGACAAGAUCUUUAGACUUCUAAAUACCGUAAUAAUAUAAACUACUGAUGUCUUAGGAGUAUACAAAUGCAAAAGACAGUACUACACUUAUUUAAAAGAGGAGAAAAAAAUAUAUUAGUGAGAUAAACUAACUCAGGACUGAGGUACACGGAACUGUUCUUAAGUUUUGGGGUACUGUCUUUCACAAUAAUAACAUAAUUGCAUGCGGACGUUUAAAGUGGAAUGGGAACAGCUAGCAAAGGACGCGAUCUGGCUAGUGUAAUACCAAACUUUUCUUCUACAUCCAAAUCUUCUACUGCAAUAUCGCCUUCAGCUUUCCAAUCAAAUGAAUUCAACAACGAACCCAACAUUGUACAUAAUUUUGCAGUCGCCAAAUUUAAUCCCGGGCAAAUUCUUCUACCAGCACCAAAUGGAAUGAGUUCAAAAUCUUGGCCACGAACAUCCACUUUCAAAUCCCAAAAUCUCUCUGGCUUAAAUGUGAGAGGAUCCUCCCAUGUAGCUGGAUCACGACCUAUUGACCAUACGUGCACUAACACUUGAGAUUCUUUCGGAACAAAAUAGCCACAUGCCUCGACGUCUCGAUCGACCUUGCGAAUCAAAAAGGGCACUGGAGGGUGCAUCCGCAAGGUUUCUUUCACUAUGCACUGCAAAUAAGGGAGACGAGCAAUAUCGCCUUCUUCGAUUAUCUUGCCUUUCCCGAUGACAUCUGCAAGCUCGCUUUUAGUUUUAUUCAUUAUGUAUGGUUUUCUCAUAACCUCUACCAUUGCCCAUUCUAAUGUACUUGAAGUUGUAUCCGUUCCCGCAACGAAAAGGUCCUGCAAUAUAUAUGUAAUUGAUGGAAGAAAAUAAAAGGAACCUAAUGAAGUAUAACAGAUCACCAAAUGUCUAAUAAGAAGAGGGGAAUUCAAGAUUUUAGAUUUAGGGUUCAACUAUUAGCUUUUUAGCACAAAAUUCGUUGUAUUACAAUUGAAACUACAGGUUCAUGAUAAUUAAUAUUUUCUGAAUUACUAAUAGUUUCAUGGGUCGAAAAUAAUUGUUCAGAAGGUCUAAUCGGCUGUGCAUAUUAGGAACUUAACCAAGGUAGAGAAGUUCAAAGUUACCAGGCACAAGUGUUGUAUAUGAUUUCUGUCGAUUGCCUGCGGAUCUUCUUCGCUAGUAUUUAACAUAACUUCGAGAAAAUCCGUUCUACUGCCAUUUGGUGAUUUCCUCCUUUGCUCCAAUCGUUCAUCAACCAAUCCCUUUAUAAUCUGGUGAAGCAACUUAUCAAAAUGCUUGCCUAUGCGUCGCCUUAUCCCUUGAGGAUCAAUCCUUUUCAACACUGGAAAAUAAUCGGCGAAAUUUGGCCUACCAGAUUCUUCCAUAACAUCCCAGACUACAUCCUUAAAUUCUUUACCUGAAUUUGCAUAAGGGUCCACUACAUCCUUGGAAAAAAUGGUAUUGGAAAGUAGAUUAAUCAUGGUCUCGAAAGCAGCUUGGCCUAUAUUCACUGACUCACCAGUUUGGCUACACUUGCGGCAAUAACCAAUAAAAUCUUGCAUCUUUUGGGUCCUGACAUCAAAGUGACGUACAAAAUCAAUUUUUGCUUAAAGUAUGGUAAAUAAUGACAUGUUUGUUAGUUGAAUUAUAUGAAUCAAAAUAUCAUUGUAUAUUAGUUUGAUCAAAUUAAACUCACCCAUUGGUGACUUUUACCUGAGAUGCUGAGUUGCGUCAAGCUUGUUGCUGGAGAACAUAUUAGAAUUCAAAAUUUUCCUUAGGCUUCUCCAGCGAGAAGCAACUGGUAGAAACACAACAGAGAACUGAUGGUGAUUAUGGGCACGGAUUGCAUCUGGAAUUGUUCUGCUGGAGAAGGCCAAAUCUUGUUUUUGUAAGACUUGUUUGGCCACGGCUGAUGAAGAUACUACCACUGUUGUUAUUUGCCCCAUUCUGAGGCUCAUCAUUGGCCCAUAUAUUUGGGCAAGCCUAGCAAGUGACUUGUGAGGUUGAUCGCCAACAAUAUUAUGCAAAUUUCCAAUCAAUGGAAGGGGAAUUGGCCCUGGUGGAAGUUUUUUGUUACCUCUCUUGUUUAUUGCUACCCAUUGAAGCAAAGCCCAGGCAAGUAGUAAUCCACCUACAAUGACUACAUAAUCCAUUGGUAAUUAAAUAACUAAUUAAGAGUAUGUACGUGCCUAGCUUAUAUUAGUUACAUUAUGUAAUGGUUAUAUAUAUAUAUAUACUGCAUCAUCCAUUUAUCCUAAAUGUUGAAGGUGUUAAUCACGCAGAACCUCUGGUGCGGUUGAACACUGCUAUUCAAAGUUUGAAAAACAAACUAGGCCUAACACAUACACAACCCCUCAAACUUGCCCUCAUUUUUCAUUUUGGCACUCCAACUUAGCCUUGUUCCAUUUUAACCCUUAAACUCCAUUUUUUCUGUACCAUUUAAACACUUAUACUAUUUUUUAUAAUUUGUUUUUAUUUAUGUUCUUCAAUUGCAAUUUCUUAUUUUAAAAAAAUAGGCGUGUGCCUGUUAAUUUUCGUAAAAAAAUUAAACAUUCGCGAACGAACAUAAAAAAUUUCAAACAAUAAUACUCCCUCCGUUUCACAAAGAAUGACCUCCUUUCCUUUUUAGUCAGUUUCAAAAAGAAUGACCUCUUUCCUUUUUUGGUAACAUUUUACUUUUUGCUUUCCACGUGACAUGUUUAAGACCACAAGAUUAAGGGCAAUUUUGUACAUUUGCCAUAACUUUAAUUUAGGACCACAAGAUUCAAAAGUCUUCUUUAUUUACUUAAACUCCGUGCCAAGUCAAACCAGGUCAUUCUUUGUGAAACGGAGGGAGUAUUAUUUUUUGAUAUUUCUCUGUAUUUUUGCAUGAAAAUAAAUUGACGAAAGUUCUUUGAUUUUCUUUCUUAAACAUUCAAUUAAAUUAAAUAACACUACUUAUUUAUUUUUUCUUAUCAUCUAGGCUAUCUAAAUUUAACGCAAAUACUCACUUUUAAUUUUUAAUAUAAAUCAAUACGAAUAAAAAAACNNNNNNNNNNNNNNNNNNNNNNNNNNNNNNNNNNNNNNNNNNNNNNNNNNNNCUGAUUUUGUUAAUAACACUAAUAAAAAAAGACUCUUGUUCAUUGCUAAUAACACUACUAAACAAUAUUAAAACUCGACUGACUUUGUUGGGUUGUCGGUGAUUUUAAAGAAAGCAAACCAACACAAUUUCGUCGGUUAUUUUUCACACAAAAAUACAUAAUACUCUUAAAAAGAAAUUAUUAUUUUUUGUUAAUUUUUAAUUUUUUAACUAAAAUUAACUGACUCAUGUCGAUUUAAAAUAAGAAGUUGCAAUUGAAGAAUAUAUAUAAAAAUAAAGAAAUCAUAAAAAUAAUAUUUCGUGUUAAAAUGUUACAUAAAAAAAUGAUAUCCAUAUUAUCAAUACUUAUUUGUUGCUUGGUAUUUUACAGGAUUUUUUGUUUUACUAGAGUUGAAGUUUAUUUUGGCUUUUAGCUUUGUGUUCUCAUUUGAUUAUUUCCAAAGUUAUUACUAAAUAUCCAUAUUAUCUGCCGGUUAAUCCCUUUAGUAUUGUUAUUAAACAUAGGAAGGCCGUCUUUGUUUAUUUUGACCCGUCCAUAUCUUGAUUCGAUCCACCCGUUCGUCACUCCUCACAAUUGAGGAGAAUUCGCAUCAGGCUCUGCGCAAUCAACCAUUAACGGAACCUAAUUUGUUCUUCAUGGCGAGGGAUCACAUGGAUGCUCCUCCUCCUCCAUGAUCGAUAUCCCAUUCCAUCAAAUUAAAGGAACAAGAACAAGCAUUAAUCCAGAGCUGUCUAACAGCGCCGUCUCAAUAAGUUUGGGGCCUAAAGUCAAACUUCAUAGAAACCUUAUUUCUUAGUUGUCAUAUGUAAAUUGAAUAACUAUAAAAUACUCAAUGUAAUCACGAGAGAAGUCUCGAGAAGGUAGGAUAUAUGCAAAUCGUAUGAAUUAAGAAUGUAAACAAAUAAAAAAAAAUAAGAUCAAUUUAAUAAAAUAAAAUAUGUUGUAAGUCAAUAUGAGGCAAGUAAAAUAAAAUUGAAGGAGUACGUAAAAUAAAAAUAAAAUAAAAAAUGGCGUGUUUGUGAAAAGAACCUCAAAGACUUACAUGAUACAUCACUUGAACUUCUAAGUUGGUUGUUGUUUGACUGAGUUGCUUGUGUUGGUAUUUGGACACUUUGUGUUUCACGUUUGAGAUAAAAGUAUCUGUGCAACUAUUUUAGGUUGGUGGGUAUUUCAAUUCAAAAUGUAUUUCAUUAAUCAUACUCCCUCCGUCCAAUAUUAGCUAAUUAUCUUUACUAAAAAUAGUUGUUUUAUAUUAGUUGUCUACCUUACUAAAUUAAGUAAAUAUUAAUUAAAUUAUUCCUAUAUUACCCUUGCAAUUACUAUUCAUUUUGAAAGUGUUCACAUUUGUUUGUAAAAUUCCUAAGAAUUUUUUAAAGAAUGAAUUAGUAAAAUCAUCUUCUUAUUUAUGACUUCUUAAUAUGUGUAUAACGAAAAGUGAUAAACUAAUAUGGGAGAGUAAUAAGUCAUUUCCGUACAAAUAUGUAAACCAGGAAAAUUUAAAAGGUAGCGCGAAUCUAUCACUUUUCAUACAAAUCUCUCAUGAAUUAAAAAAAAAAAAAAAGGUAAACAAAGGAUCCUUUGAGUCCUUUGAUCUUGGCUUCCCUGAAGGCACUUGUUGAGAAAUUGUAAAAAUGACCUGUCGACGUCUAGAAAUAUUCAUCCUUUCUGUCCAGAAAUGUGUUACUCACUUUCAUAGUCAAAGUCAGAAAACUGCCCUCCAAUUCUGCUUUCAUUGCAAAAAUGUGUUCAAACUUCAGACAAAAGCAUGAACAAAGAACAGCUAACGAACACGAACAUAAUGAAUUAAUGAGAAUUGUGAAACUUAAACUAUCUAAGAUCAUUUAGGUCUGGCUGGCUUUAGGAUCAUGAAAAAUAUGCCAGAUUUUACUUCCCUUGUCCAACAAUACUUGUCCACUAUUGACUUUGCACAUUUUUUAAGAAACUAUAAAUAGAAGGAUAGUUUUAGCAUAUCACCCUUUAAAUAUAGUAAAUACAAUAUAUUGAAAAAAAUGUAAUAGGAAAAUAACUAUAAUUAUGUAAAGUAUUAGUAGUAAUUAAAUUUAGAUUUUCAAAAUAUUAUUCAUAGGACGUGUGCGUUCUUAAAUUAUUUCUUCACUUCAUUUCAUCUUCUUUCUGACUUUUAGCACCCAAAAUCAAGUCAUUUGUUAACAAAAACCUUUCUUCUUUUUUUUUAAUCAAGAUUAAUUUUGUUUGCAAAUUCAAAACUUGAUGGGCCGGGGCCUGUUAUGGAUCUAGCGCCACCUACCUAGAAAACGGUGAAACAAGUGAACUAUACCCCGAUCUCAUCUCCAAAGAUAGGUAGAGAAAGCAGACAAUCUGAAUUAUUCGCUGAUUAUAAUUAUGUAACCUGUGUCAAUUGUCAUGUUGACUUAUUCAAUAAUAACAUUAUUACUUGCUCAAUUUGGAGCCGACGUUUAAAGUGGAAUAGGAACAGCUAGCAAAGGACGUGAUCUCGCCAGUGUAAUACCAAACUUUUCUUCUACAUCCAAAUCUUCUGGUACAAUAUUGCCUUCAGCUUUCCAAUCAAAUGAAUUCAACAAUGAACCCAACAUCACAGAAAGGGUCCUGGAUGCCAAAGGUAACCCUGGACAAAUUCUUCUACCAGCACCAAAUGGAAUGAGUUCAAAAUCUCGGCCACGAACGUCCAUUUUCGAACCCCAAAAUCUCUCAGGCUUAAAUGCCAGAGGAUCCUCCCAUAUAGCUGGAUCACGGCCUAUUGGCCAUAUGUGCACUAACACUCGAGAGUCUCUUGGAAUAAAAUAGCCACACGCCUCAACGUCUUGAUCUACCUUUCGGAUCAGAAGGGGAACUGGUGGGUGCAUUCGCAAGGUUUCUUUCACUAUGCACUGCAAAUAAGGGAGACGGGCAACAUCGGCUUCCUCGAUUAUCAUGCCUUUGCCAAUAACAUCUGCAAGCUCGGUUUAAGCUAAUUGAAUCCGUCUUGUGUGAUUAAUUUGGCAGUCACUUUAUAGAGGAAUCGCGUGAACCUGUUUCUCUUGUUUAGCAAAAAAUAAAAUAAAGAGGAAUCACUCAUUAAAUCUUUUUCAUGAAUGUGGACUUUUUCUUGCAAAUUAUCAAGAUGGGCUAGUGAAAUAAUCAUCAAAGAUGUUAAUCUUAGGUUCUGAAGUUGAUGACGGUGUUGUUGCCAAGAACAGAGUGAGAAAAAGUAGAGUAGAAAUGAUAGCCAAAGAGGUUAAGACAGAAUCUCCACAUCAAAAAGUAUGUUUUUUUUUCUCUAUUUAUAAAUACUGUUCGUGGGUUUCUUCUCCGGAGGUUUUCAUUUGUUUAUUAUGGAGGAGUGGUCUAUGUACUUGACAGAUUAUUUUUAAUAUCAAAAUACUAUAGAAUUUUGUUUCUUUAGGUUGCGGGAGAAAAAACAAAUCAUGUCAUGUUAAUUAACUCGUUGCAGUUUCUCAGGCAUCCAGAAAUUGAAGAUUUCGCAUAUAAAAGUGACAAUAUUUAUGCUCAAGCGUAAUCGGAUAUAUAGGGAGUACUUUAUUAUGUCAAACUGAUUAUAGAAAGAGGAAGAGAAUUACAUAGUUGAGAUCGGAAAUGUCUGUAGAGAAAGCAGACAAAUCUAAAUUAUUCGCUACGUUUAAAGAGGAAUAGGAACAGCUAGCAAAGGACGCAAUCUGGCUAGUGAAACCCCAAACUUCUCUUCUACAUCUAAAUCUUCUGGUGCAAUAUCGCCUUCAGCUUUCCAAUCAAAUGAAUUCAACAAUGAACCCAGCAUAAUGGAAAUUGUCCUCAUUGCCAAAGGUAUCCCUGGACAAAUUCUUCUACCACCACCAAAUGGAAUGAUUUCAAAAUCUUGACCACGAACAUCCAUUUUUGAAUCCCAAAAUCUCUCUGGCUUAAAUGUCAAAGGAUCAUCCCAGUUAGCUGGGUCACGGCCUAUUGACAAUACGUGCACUAACACUUGAGAGUCUUUCGGAACAAAAUAACCACACGUCUCAACAUCUUGAUCUACCUUGCGAAGCAAAAUGGGUACUGGUGGGUGCAACCGCAAGGUUUCUUUCACUAUGCACUGCAAAUAAGGGAGUUGGGCAACGCUGGCUUCUUCUAUUGCCUUGCCUUGCCCAAUAACUUCAGCAAGUUCAGCUUUAGCUUUUCUCAUUAUGUAUGGCUUUCUCAUGACCUCUACCAUUGCCCAUUCAAAUGUAUUUGAAGUUGUAUCCGUUCCCGCAAUGAAAAGGUCGUGCAAUAUAUAUAACUAAAUCUAAGGGAUGCCAAAAAUUGAUAAAUUGGAAAUCUCUACUUACAAUGUGAUAGUACUUACAUCAUUAUGUAACUAUUAUAGUAACUAUUUUCUUUAUAAAUUAGCUAUCUCUUAUAUGUAAUGGAUUCUUAGGCAGUAAAUAAUGUGUAUACUUUUUAACAUAAAUAGAACAAUGUGCAGGGCAUGCGACAAUAGAUCUUCCCCUAAUAUCUGUUACACAAUAUAUGAUGAAUACAUCUACAAUUUGGCCAAAGAGGAAGGAUAAAUUAAAUCCAGUAACAUACACACACACUGUAAUUAACAAAAGUCGAAUGCAUAACCUAAAGGAAGAAGUUGAAAGUACCAGGCAUAACCGUUCUAUGUGAUUUCUGUCGAUUGCCUGAGGAUCUUCUUUGCUGGUAUUUAUCAGAAUGUCAAGAACGUCAGUGCUACCAAUAGUUGCCGAUUUCCUCCUUGCCUCCAAUCGUUCAUCAAUCAGUCCCUGAAUCUGUUGAAGCAUGCUUUCCUAUUCUUCGCCUUAUUCCUUGGGGAUCAAUCGUUUUAAACACGGAAAAAAAAUCAGCCAAAUUGGGCUUACCAGCUUCUACCGAGAUGUUCCACACCACAUCCUUGAAUUCUUUACCUGAAUUUGCAUAAAGGUCCACAACAUCCUUGGAAAAAAUGGUAUUGGAAAGUAAAUUCAUGGAAGUCUCGAAAGCAGCUUGGCCUAUAUUCACUGCCUCACCAGUUUCACUACAUCUACGGCAAUAAGCAAUCAAAUCUCGGAUCUUUCCGGACCUAAAAAGAGUUAGUUACUCAUUCAGUAUGUAACUCAUCACACAAUAGAAUAACUGUAUGGGUCAAACUGAAACAUAUAAAAUCAGAUUUGGAUAUUGAAAAUUAUAUGACUUUGACCCAAGCUAACUUUGGUCAGAUCAAAUUUGAGUAAAGUAACCCAUUUGGCACGCUACUGCUACCUGAGAUGUUGAUUUGCGUCAAAUAUUGAUACAGGAAUUCAAUAUUUUCCUUAGGCUUUUCCAUUGAUCAGCGACUGGUAGCCAUACGACAGAGAAUUGGUAGUGAUUUAGGGCACAAAUUGCAUCUGGAUGUGGUCUACUAGAAAAGGCCAAAUCUUGCUUUUGUAAGACUUGUUUAGCAAUGACUGGUGAAGAUAUAACCACUGUCGUCAUUUGGCCCAACCUGAGGCUGAUUAUAGGGCCAUACUUUUCAGCAAGUUUCGUAAGGGGUUGGUGUGGUUGACCACCAAGUAUGUUGUGAAGAUUUCCAAUCAAGGGCAGUGGUUUUGGUCCUGCUGGAAGUUUCUUGUUACAUCUUUUGCAUAUCACUAGCUUACAAAUACACUGAACCAAAGUCCAGGCUAGUAGCAAUCCACCUACAAUCACUACAAAAUCCAUUGGCCGGUUUCUUCGCUGAACAAGCUAUUGCAUUAGUUACUGCUCACUUGGUCUUGCUUUCUGCCUUCAUUAUUAUAAAGUCACUGCUUCCCUUAAUUUUAAUGUAGUAAAUCCGUUGGGAAAAUAUUUACUAACACAGUUUCAAAUGUUGCUUGAUUUGAUAAAGAAAGAUUUUUGAAAGUUAUGAUAUAAAAUAAGUUAUAAAACUUUAUAUGAUCAUAAAUUUAAAUAAAAUAAUCAUUUAAAAAUUAAACUAUUACUAAAUAUAAAAAAUUAUCAUUCUAUUUGAGUUAACUAUAAAAAAGGAGGGAAAAAAAGAGUGUGUCACAGAUGAGAUAAGAUUUACAAUUCAAUAUCUAUUUAAUGAAUGCAUCUCUGUCUUCGGCUGACGAUGACCGAUUAAUAAUUCGGGUAAAAAGAUACUCCCACUAAGCAGUUCUUAACAAUAUCUCUGUCUUCGGCUGACGAUGACUGAUUAAUAAUUCGGUCAUACAAUUUGUUAUUACUUAAUAAAUAUAUUUGGUAAACAUCUUAAGUUUUCAAAUCUAAUAUUUAGAAAAUAUUUGGAAAUUUUUAAUAAUUUUAAAAUUACCCUAUACUUUUAUACUUUCUUUUGUCCAGCGAUUAUCUAUUAUUGUUUUUGUACAUUUUUUAAGAAACUAUAAAUAAAAGUGUAAUUUUACUAUAUCAAUUAUCACCCUUUGAAUAAACAAUGUUUUAAAAAAUGUAAUAGAAAAAUAGAGUUUUUGACCAAAAACAUCCUUAAACUAUACCCCAAACUUAAGUUACAUCCUUAAAAUAUAUUUUUUGGCAAAAAAACAUCCUCUAAGUAUUUGAAAGUUAACAAUAUUCAUCCUUAUGUAAGAUAUCGUCAAAAAACUAAGGGAUCCUACAAAAAUAUGAGCAGUUCACGUGACUAUCAACAAAAGUUUUCUUCGUAAUUUCAUUACCUACUAUAAGAAGUUUCUGAAAAAAAUAUUAGAAAUCUUAGACACCAUUGCUUAUUGAAACAAAAAAUGUUUAGAACGUCAUGUGAGGUUAAUACAUGAUCUGCUCUUUUUCUCAUUUAGUAAUGGAAAGAAGUUGGAGCUUAAUUAUCUUUACUUUUUUCAAAGUCAAACUGUAUUUAGAUCAAUAAUUUUUUGGGUCAAACUGUAUUUAGAUCAAUAUUUUUUUGGGUCAAUCUGAUAUUGAAGUGAUCAAAAUAUUGAUUAUGUCUCGCAUUUGAGUUUCAUUCUACAUUAUUGGAAGCAAAAGUCUCCAACAAACGUUGCUUCUAGCAUAUUUAAUUGAGAAGAAACAUAUUUCAACUAAUAAUAUUUUUAAUAUCAAAUUACAUGAAAAAUAAAUGAAAAAAACGUCAAAUUAAUUUUUUUGCAUAAUGCAAAACUCAAUUACCGAAAAAGUUCACAAUAGUAUUUUUGGCGUAUCUAAGAAUAAUAAUUAUGAAGGGAUGAGUUGAUUUUUGUGGGAUCUAUUAGUUUUCUGAUAAAUUCAAGUAGAAGGAUGAAAAUUGUUUACUUUUAAAGAGUUUAAGGAUGUUUUCUGCUAAGAAAGAUACUUUAAGAAUGUAGUUUAAGUUUGGGGUAUAGUUUAAGAAUGAUUUUGGUCGAAAACUCUACAAAAAAAUGACUAAAAUUAAUUAUAAGAACAAAUUAAAAACUAAAUAAAGAAUUAUCUAUUAAUUUCAUAAAGUAAAUAAAUAUGGAUAAAUUACUUAAAUACACACCUUUAGUUUUCAUAAUUUCCAUUAUUCCCUAUCAUUUUAAAAUAUCUCCAAAAUCCCUCCUUUUCUUCCCAAACUCCACUGUUCCAGAUACAUAAAGUUUCAACAUUCAAAACACACGUUUCUCUUCCUAAUUUCACUCCCUUAAUCUCUCCCUAUUUCACUCCCUCAAUCUUUACUUCCUUCAUUUUUUAAUUUUCAGAUUUGUUCUCUCUCCAUAAGAUCGCUCCAUAACUUUUUCCAAGAACCCAAGUAAAUUUUCACUCCACAAUUUUUUCUAAAGAACUACCGGGUCUCCUCCCUUUCCACAUUCACAAAAUGUAUAAGGGAAAGGUGAAAGAGAUGAUGUAUCCCCAUUGCUCCUUGCAACAAAAUCGUUUCCAAGGAUCCUCUUUCGCUGGUGAAAUCACUUUCCAUUGUUGACAGUGAAAAAAGAUACAUAAGUUUUGAUAUAGAGCAAAGAUAAAAGUGUAGGGGGAUUUCUUCGUCAUUUUUUUUGCUUUCAACAGAUCAAUUGUUGAUUUUUUUUCGAAUUUUUGUUGUUCAUCCUUUAUAAUACAUAUGAGUUCAGAUUUUAAUGUAUCUAGUUGAUUUUGUUUCUUAAACUAAUGUAUAAUGCCUUCGUUGAUUUUCAAUGUAUCUUGUUUAUUUUGAUUCUUAAAUUAGCCUUUUUUUAGUGCCAUCACUGAUCUGAUACAUCACUGUUACAAUAACUUUUGUUUUAUGCAAUGUAUCAUAUUCAUAUUUAAGGUGUUGAUACAUAACCCUAAUGUUGUUGAAUAUUCGAUUAAUUUUAUCAUAUUCAAUAUAAAUGUUGUUGAUACAUAAACACUACCUAGUGUAUCAUCUACAUGUAUCAAGUUCUUUAAUGUAUCAUCAAUCUUAGUCAAAUUUAAAAGGCUAUUAGCCAGUAACAAAUCAAUUGUGUGUUAUGUACUGCACUCUUUACUAUUUGUUCAGUCUUACCCAACUUAGAAUGCGAUGUAUAUAUACAUUUUACCCAAUAAUAAUCUUGAUACAUAAAUCAUAAUGUUCUAUAACUGGAGCACUAUGUAUCAGAUCCAACAAUAGGUAUAUGAUACAUAUUCAUUCUUUGGUCAAACUAGAACUACAUGUAUAUGAUACUUAAUAACAACCACACAGUAAUGUAUCGAUCUAAAAAUCUUUACUUCUCUAAUGUAUCUGAUAGGAUUACAAUACUUAGCAAUUUACUAAAUAUUUAGGAAUGGUAAUGUAUCAUGAGUAAUGUAUCCUUUUUUCCACAACGUCCACAAGGUAUCUCGUCUAGUUGAAAUCUACCACAAUUACAUAUUUUUCGCUUAAGCUAAACAAUGUAUUUUCUUCCAGCAUCAAACUAACACAUAGCGACACAAUUUUGUAGCCAUCUUAUAACACGUACCAGAUACAUUACAAUAACCAAUGAUACAACCAUUCAACAAAAUCCAAGAUGGAUAUAUAUUUAUGUAUCAUCCACACUUGUUUCUCGAUCAAAACAAGUAAUUUACAUAUCUUGAUUGUUACACUAUUUAUAUGUACAAUAUACAUAAUAAUAGUCUGAACUCUGAUACAUUUAUACGAAUUUGUGAUACACACUCGAUAUUCAAAACGUAUUUGAUCCAUCUCAAUUGUUAAUCCAUUUAUUACAUGUAUCAUAUACAAUAUAUUAUGAUGAUACAUUUUUAUACAAAUCCCAUCCAGAUACAAAAUAAUGACCACAUCAUAAUUCAUAGAUUCAAAACUACAAUACACGCCCAUCGUUUACCAUUAAUGUAUCAUGACUUACAUAUUCACAUCAAAACGACAAACAAAACAAUGACUCUGAGCUUUUUUCUGAUAUUGAUCACUAGAUUAUGUUUCUGUCGAAGAAAAAUGUCCAAAGGUAAUGACUAUUGCUUUGUUUUAGUCCUUGCAAUACCAAAGCUUCAGGUAACACUACAGUCUGCACAACAUCAAGCAAUUAAACUUGAAGUUUAUUAACUACAAUAUGAUUCAACACGCUGCAUAUGCGCUUCACUUGAUCAACAACAACCCCAAUUUAGAAAGGCUCUGAUUGAUGGUACGUCUUAUUUUUUAUUAAAUAGGCUGAAUUGUUACUGCUUCAUUUGACAAUAAAUCAUAAGCCCUCCUUUUCAGUUUCUAAGGUGUAAUGAUUCUAAGGAUGUUGUGGAGCGUUUUAUUCAUCACUUGUAAUCCCAAAUAAUGACAUAUAAUGCUCAAAAGGGUGGAUAUAUAUAAAACUGAUUUUGUUUUCUAAAUUGGAAUUUAUGAAGCAUAUAUCGGCAUCUACAACUGCACUUGAGAAAAUGUGUUGUUAGCAAUGUUAGCAACUUCUCAGAUUCAUUAAUUUUCUCUGAACAAGAAAUGAAUUAACUUUUAAGAAAUCAAAUUAAAUUUUAAUAAACGAAAGAUGAAAAAGGGAAUAGAAACUUGCUAGUUGACAGAUGGAUCUUGUUAGCAAUGUUAGCAGCAGCCAAGGUUGUCCAAUCAGAUUUGUGUGAUACAUUGAAUUCAAAUUACUCAACGAUUUCAAAUUGAUGAUUCGAAAUCGUGAAUCGUUUGUCCAAUCAUCUACAACGGCGGAUUUGAGAUUCAAGAUUUUGAAUUUAUGGAGAAGAUGAAAUUUUGAUUUUUAAAUUUUGUGAAGUUGUUACAGAUUGGAAUAGAUUGAUAUCAAUCAAUCUGUGUGAUUUGUGGGAAAAGAAAAUCAGCACUGCGUGAUUUGUGGGAAUAGAAAAUCAGUUUUGCGUUAUUUUGGGAAAGAAAAUCAGUUUUACAUUAGUAUUCCAUAUUUAGCGCAACAGACAAGUUUAUAGUGUAUCCGGAUAAAAUUUAUGUAUUCGAAAUGUUGAUUUUUUAAGGGAUUUUUGUAAAUGAAAAGGAGUUUAUGUCUACUUUUACCAUUGACCCACGUUCUCUGUGGACUGUGGGUAUGAAACAAAAGAAAAAAAAGAGGAAACACCCCAGAAACUCCAUACCUCACGUGAGUCCAUUUAAUGCAAAAAUAUGACGAUUCACGCCUCACUGGGAAUAAGAAUAUGUAUUCACACAUGUUCAAUCUCUCUCACUUCACUUCAACCACCUUCCUUUUUAAGAUUUAUUUUGUUCCAUAAUUUUCAAAUUAGGUACUUUAUUUAAUGAUUAGCAUAGCAAGAGAAAAGAAGAAACGUGAAAAUGAUAGAGAUCCAAACCCAUCUACAUGGAAGGUGAGUUACCUCAACAAAUGAGCCUUGGAAGUAGGGGUUGUUAAUGGGUCGGUUUGAGUAGGUUAUUGGUCAAAAUUAAAACUAAACUAAUUUAAUUGAUUUUAAAUUAUCUAAAUCAAACCAAAUCAAAAUAUAAUAUAUAUUUAUCGAUUUGAUUUAGUUCGGUUAUUAACCAUACAUAAAAAUAAAAAUAAAAGAAACAAUUCAUUCAAAAGUAAAAAAGUGACAAAAAUCCAUUCAAAUAAAUAACUGACAUUACAUAUGUUUCGAUCACUUAAUUUACUAUGAAUAAAGCUUCAAAAUUCUCUAUUUUCUCCUAGAAGAAAGAGACAAUGACAUUUUCAAUCUCACAAAGAAUUGUCAGACACUCAUAUACAUGAAAAUGAUGAAAUCAGCAAGAUAAUGCUCUCACCUAGGGCAUUUUUGCUUUCAUAAAUAAAUUAUAAAUACAUUUUGAUGAAAAUAUAUAGAAGAUCUUUAAAAUUGUUUAUAAAAAUAAUAUAUUAUGUAUGUACUAUAAUAAUAAGUUUGAUGUAUAUAAUUUGUCGGUUUGGUUCGGUUGUUUCUUUGUUUUUUUCCGAACAAAAUCAUAAACAAACCAAAUACUAUUGAUUUUUAAAAAUCUAAAUUCAAACUAAACCAAACCUAAAUAAAAUCGAUUUGAUUCUAUUUUUUUAUUUAGAUCGAUUUUUAUCCAAAUCGUGAACACUCCUACUCGGAAGAUUGGGAGAAAUCAAACGCUUCUUCAAUCUAAAUUCACUAACUACAUAUAUUAUGGGAAGAUCUUUAGACUUCUAAAUACCAUAAUAAUGUAUUACUCCUGUCAAUCAUUCAAAAUUACUCCAAAAAAGAGUAUACAAAUACAAAAGACAAUAGUACCCUUAUUUAAAAGAGAGAAGAAUCCAACAAUAACAACAUUUGGAGGGGAAAAAAAUUCUAAACUAACUCAUGUCUUCACAAUAAUAACAUUAUUACAUGCCAACGUUUAAAGCGAAAUAGGUAUAGCUCGUAAAGGACGUGCUCUCGCUAGUGUAAGACCAAACUUUUCUUCUACAUCCAAAUCUUGUGCUGCAAUAUCGCCUUCAGCUUUCCAAUCAAAUGAAUUCAACAACGAACCCAACAUUGUACAUAGUUUCGCUGUCGCCAAAGUUAAUCCCGGGCAAAUUCUUCUACCAGCACCAAAUGGAAUGAGUUCAAAAU